GUGUUGUGUGUGUGUGUUUGAGAGAGAGACUGUGUGUGAGUGUGUGUGUGUGUGUUGAGAGAGAGAGAGACUGUGUGUGUGUGUGUGUGUGAGUGAGUGAGAGAGAAAGAGAGAGAGAGUUGCUGCUCCAUGCUCAAAAACAUGUAAAAUCAUAUCCAGCCAAUAAAUUUAUUUAUAAGCAUCAUGAUGGGAUUGGAAAUUACCUUGGCAUUCAGAAAGUUAUACCAAAGUCUUCACAUAUUGGUCAAGAUUUGUAACGAAGAGUUCGCAUCUACAAAAAGAAAUAAAAUGCAAUCAGGCAUCACACUUAUCUGUUCAGAAGUUGAAAUUUAUUCUAAAUGGAGUUUGCAUAAUUAAAUUGACAUGCUAUGAAAUUGCGUGCAACAGACUGGCACAACUUAUAUAUUAGUUCUGAGUUUGCAUGGAAAAAUUAAAGCAAUGACCAUCCAGCUUAUGUACUAGAAGUCACUACUUGGUAGGAAACAGCACAGCAAGCAAGUUGGACACAUAUCCGAAAUGAAUACUACUGUUGAGCAAUGCAUCGGACAAUAGAUGGCUAAUCUUUGGGCUUGGUCAAAUCACAGAUUAAAAGCACUCUCAAGCAAAACAGAUAAAAACUAUAUACAGUGGCACAGGGAAUAUUAUAUUUGAAUGAGCUAUUGGUGAUUUCAUUGAGAAUUAAGCUGACUCACAAUCAGGCAAGUCAGAAUAUCAAGGUUUCUGCAUACAUUUCUGCAUCUGGGUCAAUUGGCACAUUAACGUAUUCAUGAUUAUUGGCUGAUGCAUUUACAUACGCAUAUAUGCAUAUACCGAUGAAUAGAUGAAUGCAAGCUUGCAAUGUAGGCAUGUGAUAAUGUAUGCAUGCUGCAUACAUACUUGUCUAGAUAAAUGGAUGAGUGCACUCUCUCUGCCACAUCAUAACAAAAAUGCCCAGAGUGGCCAGAUGUUUACACCAAGCCAAGCAUUUAAGGCAAGGCCAAGCCAUCCAGCCUCCCUUCUAUACAGAUACAUUCUGUUCUUAUGGACGGAUUGGGAAUACAAAUUCAGGGAAAUGCAUGCGCAGGUGCAAUGCGUGUACCAUUUGCAUAUGUCUACAUCCGAGGAUGAAUUUAUAUGUCCAUAAAUGUAUCACACCAACAUGUUCACUCUAUGCUGUUGAAUGUAUGUAUGCAAGUAUUGCAUGUAUUUGAGGAAUAAUUCUGAGUGAAAAAUUACUAAACCCCUUCCAAAACAGCACAUGGAACAUGAAUGCACCUUAAUAUAUCAAGUGAGAGAUAUUACAAUAGACAUAAUUAUAUUCCUGAGAACAAUAGGCUAUAUUGUGGUCUGAGGAGCGAUGAAGUGAUAAACUGCUGCUCUAAGACUAACCGCUGCCCCUCUGCAGGUCUAGCAGUGAUCCGAUCCCAAGACCAAAAAUAUUUAGCUAUCAGAGGUCAAAUGUAAAUGAUUGUACGGAGGAAAGAUAUGAGGCUCUUUUCUGAUGAUCGGAUCUCUUAGUUUGGGUUCCUAGUAAAGCUGCCAAGGAACCCUGUGACCGUGUACAAGAACUCCUAAUUGGGGAGAAUCCAAUAGGAAUAAAUAGAUACAAACCCAGAAACUCUCUAAUAAAAGUGGGAUGUUGAAAAAUGAUGCAUUUAUUUGGUGUACUAAUUAUAAUGCACGUGCAUCUGCAUGUGGCUGCUAAAAAUUUUAGAUUCGAGAUAAAUUGAACCAAAAUCUAAAUUCUAAAAAUAUCUAAAGAUUUUUUAUAUUUUAGGUAUUCUAAAGAUUUUUCAUACUUCCACUCAGAUUUUCCAAGUUCUUAUGUUCCAUUUUCGAACCCCUUGACUAAGUUGAUCCCCUCUCUUUACCAAGGUCUCUUAAGGACCACCUGAACAAGCUUUUACAAUUUUAGUUGAUAACUCAACUCUCCAGCACUUUGCUUAAUAGCUGCAGCUCAUAAUAGUUAAUAGAUGUACUUACCUCUGGCUAUCUCCAUCAUACUUCAACUACAUCAACAUUUGAGGUCUGCAAAUUACACACAGUAUAUUAAUGCUAGUCUGAAUCAUCCUUUCCUGCUGUUGAACAGAUUUGGUUCAAAUUUCAUGGUUAACAUAUUCCCCUCCAGAAAAAAAGGAUUUUGCUAUGCUUUAAAUCGUCGUAAAGUAUCAAUAUCUAACAUUUGGUAUAUCCCUUUUAUGUACCAUGCCAGAUUCAGAUCAAAUUUCACAGAACAAUAUUUUCCAAAGGUCAAAAAUGAGCAACAUUAGCAUGUCUUGAAGUUUAACCAAAUAGCCACCUGGGCACCCUCAAAUAGCAAUUGUCGGCAGUUGGACUUGUUCCUUCCAUUAUUGAACUGGUUUCAGUUCACAUUUCAUAGUUCACCAUUCUAUAUUUUAAAGAAACAAGAAGUUCUUCAUCAACACUUUUGGACCCAACUAUUCAUUAAUACAAAUCUUAGGCAUGCUGCCUAGAACCUGCUGUUAGGCAAUAGAAGUGUAGAACUAAUUUUAUAUGUUGAAAUAUGAAGAUUUGCAUGAGCUUGCUUUUGUCUGUCCAGGAAGUGUCAUUUAAACCUUCCAGGUCCAAAGGCAUGAGAGCAUCUAGAUACAGCGGUCACAGACAAAUCUUAACUUGCUGAACAUUUCCUUUUCUAAGAAUUGAAUGAUAAUGGUGCAUAAGAUAUGCAUUCCAUGCUCAAGAAAAUGGAAACUUGUAGCUUUAGGUGGGAUACUAAUGCCAGUGCUCAAGGCAUAAAGAAUUGAAAAUCUAAUAUAACAAGUGAUUAGAAUCAUACUUGAUUGGAGACCCAGGAACAUAGAGGGGAUUCUUUAUGACAUACUCCACAUAAAUGUUGUAUAUAUAUCUCAGAGGUUCCCGCAUAUCACCAGUCUUGGGAUGAGUAACCAAAAUAAUCUGCAUCAAAGGAGUAGGUAAAUGCCAGCUAUGGUACACAUUAUGAAGCUACUAGCAAAUCAAUUUACCAUCAAAAGAGGUAAAAUACAAGUCCAUGACCUUGCAACAAGACAAGCAAGUACUCCCAUGAAACAAAAAGGAUACAGAUGGGUAGCAUCCAAACCAACAGCAUAUAAAGAAUAACAUAUAUCUGUGAGUUUACAACUACAUCAAACUCUAAUUCAUAGCUUCUUAAAAUUGUGAAAAUUAGUGGGAAAUAUUUAAAUAUUGUUGCAUUCAGUAACCCAUGUAAUUGAAUAAAUAGCCCAGUCAGAAGCGAUUUAGUGAAGCAGUAAGGCAAAAAUAGAUUUGAAUACAAAGUAUGUAUGUGAAAGGAAGACAUGCAGAGUUCAGUGAAGGAGUGACAAGAUAUAUCUUAAGACUAAAUGAGAAGCAGCUUGCUAGAAGCUAUGGUGUUCAGGAAGGCUUAUUAUGGAAAUGAUGGGGGAAGAUAAGGCGGCAUGACUUCUUAAGUUUUUCCAAAUCAGAAUGGAACUGAUGCAGGAAAUAAAUGAUUAAACAAGUAAGAUCAAACAUUCAGCCCCAAAUUAUUCCAUAUAUAGCACUCCAUGAAAAGAUCAUGUAAUUUUAUUAGAACAAAUCCAUGAUAUUAGAAAAGGUUCUUCCAAAGUAAUCAAAAUCAAGAAUCUCUUUCUGGAGCUAUCCAUAGACACCCUAACCAUGAAAGUGAUACUAGGAAAAAGCUUGCCAAGAUUAAUAAAAAUAGUACUAAAUCUUCUUUUCUCUGAACUACCUGCAUAUCCGGAUCAUCACCAUUUUGUUGUGCCUGAUUUCAAAUUCACUUCCAAUAUAUGGCUGAGCAGAAUUAGCAUUGUUGUUUCCCUUCUAAAACCUCAUGGAAAACAAGUAAUCCAUGUACCAAAUUCCAAGCAUUUGUACAGAUCUACAAAGUUUUAUUUUCUGAUAUUCAAAUUAGAAAUGCUCAAGAGACUAUUCUCACUUCAAUACCAUGGGCCACUAGGGGAUAUACUCAUGCACUGGGAAUUACAAUAGCCCACAUUCCUCCAAUUCUUUCUUUUCCAAACAUGGCCCCAGAUAAUGAGGUAGAAUCUACUUUAAAAUCCAAUACCAUCCCAAAAGUUGCUCUAAUUACAAUAAUUUCUUCCAAAGAAAGAAACUUUUGUACUUGUCCAGCAUAGUUGUGAAGAUGGCACAGAAAUGUGCUAUGCACAGAUGAGAUAGGAUGAAUAUCUUGCAACACAUAACUGCAGAGACUACAUCUAUAUAUUUCACUGCUUCAACCAUCAAGCAAACAUGUUCUAAUAUGCAAAAUUAUUCGCCAAUAACAACACAUUGUGGUCUUUUUGGUCUUGCUUCACCAAAUGGCUGCUAACUUUAUUACACAUGCAUUAAUUUUCACUGUGAUUCAUUCAUUUUUCCGUAUUUACUGUCAUUGCUCUUAGAAUCCAGUAUAACGCAUUGGAGACUAAAGUAUUCUAAACUCAACUAGUGGGACAUCGUGGCAACUACAAUCAUAGGCAAUUUCAUCAACGAGUUUUCCGAUCUUCUCGAAUAAUUUCGAUCAGAUUGAACAUAAAGGAGGUCACGGAACAACCGACCUUAAUCCCAGAGGGGCACUCCAUGAAGCUUAACUUGUAAGUGUUGGUGCGGAAGCUGUGGAAGGAGCAACCUUGUCCCGGGAGCAGAGGCACCCCCAGAUUUCCUUUAUCGACGCUGCUCCAAAAGAAAUGAAAGGAGAUGGUUUAUUAGGGCUCGGAUCGACAAAGAAAGAUAAAAGGGGGAUCGGGGGAAUAAGGGAAUAGGAACCUAGUGGGAUCCAUCUUGACGGUGAAGGAGCGGAGGGAGAAGAGGAGGCCGAACAUGAGCUUUUGGUCUUGCUGGGCGUCCAAGGUGUGGAGCGGGCGGUGCCACUCGCGGUACAGCAGGCACACCCCGCUCCGGUUGAAGAUGUACAGCAUGUUCCCGUUGUUCCUGGCCAGCCCCGUCGCCGUUCCCGGCGGCGCUGCCGGAGAUGGGGCGAUCUCCGCCACAGACGACCCUCCGAAGAAUUGCAUCGCUGGUCCGUGCGCCCGCUCGCCCCCCUCCUCUCGAUCUCUGCUCCCAGACGGCGGCAGCAGAGGGUUUCGGUACUUCUUGAUCGGAUCUUUCCAGCCGGAGGGAUGAUGGGAGGAGUUACGCGUCAACGGGCGGGCCGUGUUCCGGCCGGGCACAGCUAAAGAUAAUUUAGUCAGACCCGAGUUCGAUCCGGCCCGGCCAUCGGACAUACUUUCCAAAUCGGAGCACGAUACUUAAGCUUGGGCCUAAUCUCGAACUUUUUGAACUCUAUUUUUCAAUUUAAAAAAUAUAUAAAAAAACUUGCAAAGAGUAAAUAUUAUUAGAAAGGAAUUGGUGAGACACAUAAAUUUAUAUUUAUGGUUGUUCACAAGGUGUGUCGGUUCACUGAAGAGAAUAUUAAUAUUUUUUUAAUCAUCAAAGUUAGAUGUUUAAAAAUAAUUAUAUAUUAUAUAUUAUAUAAGAUUCAGGUCAUGCGGCACUAGACCCAGGCCUGGCCUAUUUUAACUGGCAGUCUUAUAUUUCAAGCCGGGCCCAUCUGUCAGGCUUAUAUUAAGAUUGGCCCGUGCAUAGAUUUAAGUGUAAGCGAAUCAAUAUUCUCAGUAAUUUGCCUAUAUAUACUUUUGCAUAUAAUCCCUAUAAGAUGAGAAAAUAUCAUACCUAGCUUUUUUAAGAUAUAUUUACAGUACUUCUAAAAGCAAAUUUCAGGAUAUUUUGGUAGUAGAAGUUUUGGUGGUACUCAUUUAAUUAACUUAAAUACUCCUGAUAUAAUUUUCCAUAAUUUCAUAAAUUAAUCUAAAUAAAUACAUAGUAAUGUGCAUUUGUGUGGAGGCCCUUGUGGGGCAAUUGCCCAAAAUAGUAUCUUCAUGCUAUUGCCCUGACGGCCGAUGGUAAUUGCCCAAUGCACCACUUGCUUUUUUGAGUGUAGGCUUGUCGGAAUCGAAAUCGAUUAAAAUAGGAAUCCAAACGGCCAUAUUCUUCAACACAUUUGAUUCAUAACUGGCAUCAAAAUCGAAAUUGGAAUAGAACUUGAAUUUUAGAGGAGAGUCGGAAUUAGAUUUUGGAGGAUUGAGGUAAUCCCAUUUCUUUCUAGAAUCGGAAUGGAAAUGAAACUCUCAUCUACCGAACUGCUAGAAUAGAAGCUACUUAUUUCCAUUUUCAUUCCAUAUCCCAAGUCUUUCCAACCAAACAUGCCGUUAUUUGAUUAGUGAAUUCAGUUGGAGUGGCUACGACUAUCAACUUCCACUGACAUAGCAGCCUGCUCUUUUGAGUUGGUCUUAUGGUUGGAAAAGUAGAAAUGCGACGGUCUUCCACCAUACACAUAUAUCCUCCAAACUUAUUAUCCAGCAAACUAAGCUGUGACUUAGUAGACAUAACUGUCUCGACAUUGAAUUAAACUAAUCAUGGAUGAUUCCUAUGAUCCUAAUGAUAGGAGGGAUGGUUCUGGGUUUGCUUUGAGAACAUUUGAUGCUUUGCAUAUCUACAUGCAGGAAUGAGAGCCAAGUCUCGGUCCUUAUUGGCCGAGGCAUGGGUGGUUCACUGGUUUGGGAGGCUCACGUCACUAACAUGGGCAUACCCGAGCUUGAGAUUGAGAACAACUUUCUUUUGUUGGUUCACAUUUUGAGCCGCCAAGAUGGAAUCCCUUGGUCAAUUGGAGCUAUUCUGCUUGAUAUUUUUACUCUUUCACAGCAUCCAUGGCAAUUCAGCAUGCAUCAUGUAUAAAGAGCCAAUGAUUCCACAUGCUAGUUGGCCAACUUCGGGCAUCUUCAGACAAAAGUUUUGCUUGGUAGAUGAAAAAGAGGUUGGAUAGCUUUCUUAGGUGGUUGGAAUAAACUGUUCGUUGAUAUGCAUUAUAUUCCAUAUCAGAGAUAAUAGGAAAUUCCACUGAGAGUGGGGUAGAAUAGUUGGAGGAUAACUUUAUCCUAUGCCCGCUGCAUGAUUGAUAAAUUCUCCAUGUGGUUGUUGAUAGAAGUGGCUUGGUGAUUGAGUAACAUUUGCAUCAUCUGUACUCAGUAGCAUAAUUUUACACACUUUAUAUUGGUAGUUGGCUGGUUGUUCAUUACACCCUUGUGCAGGGUAUUCUCAGUUGAUACGUGUGUAUAUUGUGAGAGGGCAUAGCAUACUCCUAUACACACAACAUGCCUCGAUAGCAUGUGACGAGGGAUUUGCAUGGGUGUACAUCUUAAUUUUGAUUUUAUUUUAAAUUUUACUUACAUUGGAUGCCUUUUCAGGAUUUUCUUUUCUCAAAAUAUUUUGGAUGCAAUUGGAUAGCCAGAAGGCAUGCACUUGCGAGACAAUGAUGAUAUGUUGGAUGCUAGCCUUCGAGGACUUUGGCAAGCUUGGCAUGUAUCCGAUGUUAUCGCGUUCCUGAUCUACUAGUUGAUGCAUGGCAUGAAAUGCAUUGCAUACAGCUAGGGUUGUUGUGGUUCGCUUUUCGAUAUCGAGCAUAGCAUGCGUUAUAUGCAAAACCAUUGAAGAUAUUUUCAUAGCUCGAGCCUUCAUCUUAAUAUUAAGUUGAUUUUUCAUGUUUUGAUUUUUACUUGCUUUCAUUGUUAUUUGGACCACGAAGUAGGGUUAUCCGAUGCUUGUUAUGAAGGUUAUUUUACUAAUUCACCAUCCAAUGCAAAAUGUUGGUUUAGUCACACAUUGUGCCCGGAUGUGAACCAAUAGGGGAACAUGAUGUAGAAGCAAAAACAGUAUCAUAUCAAAUCAUAAGUUAUAUGUGAUGCCAUAGUUAUAUUUGCAAUUACCAAUGAUAUUUUUUUUUAUAAUUGACUAGGCAGUCGACUUAUGAGAAGAUCCAUGUCAUGUAGAAUUUACAAUUCUAUUAUAGACUCAUUAUUUGGAACCGCAAUGUUAUUUGUAUUUACAAUAUUUUUUAUAUAUAAUAUUAACUCUAUCAUGGAAAUGAAUUUCUUUUGUUUCAUAAUUGUGGGUUAUAAUUCUUUUAUGGACAUUUCCCAAACUAUCUUGUUCUGCCAUACAAGAGGGGACCAAGGAGGGUGCAGUGAAUGUUGACUGGCGCAAGGAGUGGAGAAGUUGUUUAGAUUCUAAACCCUAAUACUUAGUCAAUUUAUUCUUAUUAGUUGAAGGACAAUUUUAUCCAUUAAAAAAAUCAUUACUUAUUUUCUACUUCAAUCAAACAAUAUUAUGAUAGACUUAUCCAUCCAACCAAAUGGACAAAACUCUUAUUUCUUGAAAUAGCCUUGUUACUCUAAAUUUAUCCAAAUAAUUCCCCCCCCCCCCCUUAAAAUUUAUUCCAUAACCAAAUAUAGCCUCAGUAUUAUAUAGAUGGCAAACUUCUCUUCGGAGAUACAAAUUUUAAUAUGUAACAAUUCAUGGUGUACAUGGAGCACUAAUAAUACAUGGUCUUAUAACCAUUUUGCAAACAAAAAAGUUUUUUUUUGAAGGACAGCACGGUUGGCACUAAUAAUAUAUAUUUUUAUAACUAUUUUUGCAAACAAAAAUUUUUUAUUUAGCACAGCACAGUUAUCUGGAGUAAAUACAAUCUCCGGCAUUAAUCACGAAGUACCCCUAUUUUAGGAAACCCUGGAAGUUGUCGGUGGCUCAACGAUCUGUAUUCCAAAGGUUUACCGAGGUAAAAUUUUUGGCUGGUAUUUUUUUAUUUGUAGGUUUCUCUAUUUUCGAGGGCCUUUGUUCAAAUGUGAAAUCACAAGCUUUCUGUCUGUCCAUGCUUCUUUUGAUGUUAUGCCAUUCAACAGUGGACACCGAUGAAUAAUAUUGGCUGUCAUGAGGCCACAGUCCCCAGUAAGAUUUAGAGAUGCUCUAUUCUGUCAUCAUGCCCUUUUAACAUAAACGCCAAAAUCAAUGCUUCCAAUCUGUCUGCGAAGGAGAACUAGAAUUCCAAGGAUAUCAUAGAACAUUGGGGCUGUAACUUCACUUCUAAAAGCUCCAUUGUUAAGACAAGAAUUGCUUCGAAAGAGGGGGCGGGCCGGCUGCGAUGCUCUUUUCCUCUCAAAAAAGCUAAAAUAUCCUAUAAUUGGAGUGGAGCUGAAUGAGCUGAAUCCAAACGGAGAAGUGUGAAUAGUUUGCGACAAAGGAGGGUACCUAAUCUGCUGUUCUAUUCGUUCCUCUGUAAAUGCCAGCGAACCUUAGAGUGAUAAUCAUUGUCGGCAAGCUUAGCAACGCAAACUGCUUGCCGACAAGUAAUUUUGCCGACAUAAUCUUCCAUCAAAACUUAUUAAACUUUAAAAAAAUUUAGAGCCCAUCAUGUAGAACGGACGGUCGUGAUUGAAAGGCCCUUUCCGGGAUUCCUAGAACACGCGAUGCCAUAUAUAGAGAUAUACCAGCAUCGCCACGCGUCGAACGGCACGCGUCAUGGGGGGAGCGAGAAGAGGUACCAGGGGCGCCAUCUAGGGCUCCGAAAAGAAUAUAGAUAAUAAGAUUAAAGAGAACUUCCGUUCUUUUGGACCGCGGCGGGAAGCCAGCCAAGCGAGAGCGUCGCCUCCACGCCCACUGCUUCCUUCAAGAAGAUGCGGCAAAGCUUAUCAGAGAGAGAAAGCGAGUGAGCGACAAGGGGACCGCCAUAGAAAAAUCCAAGUACAGCCCUCCUUUUCUUGGUUCUCCUUGCUUUUUUGCCUUUCUGCCCUUCGGUCGAUCGGAGGAGGGUAGGAGGAGUUCUAGUGCUUCUAGGGUUUGGAGAAGAGGGGAGGCGAGGUUGGUGGAGGGGGAGGGUGAUGCCGAUGGAUGAGGGAUUGUUGGAUGAUAUCAUACGGCGGCUUCUUGACGCGAGGAACGGGCGGACGGUGCGGCCGGUCCAGUUGACGGAGGCGGAGAUCAGGCAGCUGUGUCUUGCUUCGAAGGAGAUCUUUGUCAGCCAGCCUAAUCUCUUGGAACUCGAAGCGCCGAUCAAGAUUUGUGGUAAAAACGGCUAAAGCUCUCAUAUUUUUCGUUUUCUCCUCUUCUCUGCAUGCUGAGUGGUUUUGGGAUUGAAAGGAUCCUAGAUUUUAGCUGUGUUACUCCCUGGCGGGCAUCUGUUCAGUUCAUAUGGAAAUGAUACUAUGGGUUCGCUUCCUCCUUACGUUUGGAGGCGCUUUUGGCUUUGGGAGUGAUAUUUCACGGAUUUCAAGAUAGAUUAGUUGUAUUAAUAGGGAAAAAACUCAACCUGGAUGCUAAAAACAUCAAAAUAUGGAGAGCGGAGCAUUAAAUUUGGCUCGUAGCAACACGUCCAAGUAUCACAGAACUUAUAGUCAUCCUUGUUGAUCUAUGAUUGGCUAAUGACAACAUGCGCAUUGCUCAACUUAUGAGUUUUAGUUUGAUCAUAAAUUGAUAAACUUCACAUAACCAUAUACCUGUUUUCUAAUGGCCUGCCAAAUUUUAAUUUUUACCAUCCCAAAGACCAAUUUGAUAUUCCAUUUCAUUGUUUUUCUGGUAAAAUUUUGUUUGUUAUCUGACACACAUGCAUGUUAUAAAUAUCUUUUUACCUUUUGGUAAUGGUCAUACUUCGCUUACGCUCAGAAGAUUGACUGUUUCUGGAAUAUAUGACAAUAUGACUCAUGGUAUUAGUGUAACAUUCAAUUAACCAAGUCAGUUGUUUCUCACUCUGGAUCAGGGCCUUAGUGCAUGGUUGUUAGUUUACCCCUUUUGGGGUAAUCAUUGGUUUUCUUUAUGAGCUUAUAUUUAGGAUUCGUUCAAGGAUUAUAUUGGUUAUUUUGCAAGGACAUUAUUGGCAUACAUCAUCAGUAUCAAAGUUUGGUCAACAUUCACUUUAUAUUAUUUCAUUCUGUAAGUGAUACAAAUCAGUUUUUUUUUUUGUAGAAGCAUUUUUUGGAUGUUUAUAUGGUAUUGGCAUUGAUUAGAUGUACGCUUUAAUUGCUGGAUUGCAGGGGAAUUUAUGACUCAUGGUGCAGCCAAAAUUACUCAUAUGGCCAAAUAGGCAUAGUAUAUAGUUGGUCAAUUCGAUAUCAAAUAUGCAUUUUUUAAAAAUCAUUUUCUUUAACUUGUAGUGCAAUUUAUUACUUCGAGGCUUAUGGCUAUGCUUGACAGAUGGAUGCAAUUUAGUAUAUCAAACCUUGUGACCUUUGCUCUCCGUCUUGACUCUUUCCAAAUCUACAGGAAUUUAAAAUACCCUCGCUCCUUUUCUAACAUUGCCUUGGCAAUGAAGUUAACAAUAAUUCUUGAAAUUUGAUGCCGAGUUAACAGUGGACUAUAAAAAUCUGCUUAUUAUGGUGGAUCAUCACUAACUUAGAGUUGUGAUCCUCAAAGGACCCCAUUUGCUGGGCAAAGAUUUUGAGUAUGGUAAUAUUCUUGGGAGAAGCAUGUUUUGAGGAACAUUCUAUUCAGUUUUGGAAUUGUAAACAUUGGAAUGAAUGAGGACCACUUUGUAAUUAUCUAUAUGUGAUGCCUAUAGCAAGCUGCUCAAUCAAACACUUGCUUGAUAGAAGCUUGAACUGUUAUGUUGUGCUACUUCUCAGAGUUAUUCAAAUAUAGCUGAUAAAUCCUUGAAUGAAUCACCUAUUUUAUUGCACAUUUGUACAUGACAAUGUAAGAAAAGUUGGAACAAGUUAUAGGUUUGGACGUUUGUGCACUUCAAAGGGAUGAGGCUUCUUGAGAGCAUGGUUAAGCAUUGAAGUUUCGUAGAGAGAAAUGACCCUUUGGGGGUCACGACAGAAUCAUGACAAAUCAAAAUUAGAAGAAUUUGCAAAACUAUUCUCGAUAUAAGGCCUAGGACUUUUUUGUUUCCUUAUGGUAUUAAAGUCACUCAAAGGUAUAUAGGUGGACUUUUUAUUCCUUUUCCACGUGACUAGACAAACUAUCAAGCUGUAGUUCAUGGAUUUUGAUAGUCAUGUUUUUAGUGUUUUUUUCCUUGUUGGAGCCAUUUUUUUUUAAAUGGAGGUAUAUGCAUAGUCUUUGUAAUCAAACAAGAAUAUAGAAUAAGUCGUCCUAGUGAAAUAAUUAGCUGGAACUAUUACACUUGAUUCUUAUGUGUUACAUUUCAUAUUUUGGUGAUUUUAUAUUAAGGAGGAUGUUUUAAUAAUUUAGAUCUAAUGUUUCAAAACUAGCAUAAUAGGAUGGUACUACUGGUUCCAUACCAUCCGAUGGCCAAACAGUAUGCAGACGGACCCUAGGAUGCGAAAGUUGGUUGGAUUGGUAUGUACCAAUCCAUGUCAUUCUGAUUGUAUUGGUCCAUACUCCAUACAGACAAUCCAUACGGAUUGUACCAGUUGCACACCUGUUGCUUUUCAUUCUUAUUAAUUAUGACAAUCUUGAUCCAUCCCAAUCAUACAGAUGCACGGUAUUGUACCAUCCUAGGGCAAAACUGGGAUGGGUUUUAGUACCUAUAUUUGCACCGUUGAUUGGAUCAGAGACUUACUUUUUAGGUUUUGAAUACAAUGGUUAGCCACCAAUUAGUUUAGCCCACCUACAUUUAUUAGGUAUUAUUAAUUGCAUGGUUGUUGCUGUCAUUGUAACUAUAGUCUGCCGUACCGCCUGGUACGGGGCGUACCAUACUGUACUGGGGGAUAACCGGUACGAAAUUUACCUUCAAGUCGGUACAAGCCCACCGAGGCGUACCAAGAUCUGUACUGGUCUGUAUCGAGGCACACCGAGAUAAAAAUUGAGAAAAUGGUCUAAAAACUAUUUCGAUACAAAGAUGUACCAUACCGUACCGUAUCGAACCGAUAAGGUAUCGAUAUGGUAACCGAUACUGAGAUUGCGGACCUGGAUUGUAAUCUUUUCAAAAAGUGUAUUUGAAGGAGUCAAAGUCAAAUCAGACGGCAUGAGGAAGUUCAAUUUUAAAACAGCUUUAUGGGAAUAAAUUUUUCUAUUUUAGAAAGCAUGAGAAUAUGCUAAGUUGCUAACGAAUCUUUCCUUUGUGGGGACAAUUUAUUGGGCUUUGGAGCAGUGCUUGAUGUGUUUUCAAAAUUCUUGGUUCUUAAUAACCUUUAUAUCGAUGGCUGGUAGGAUAUUUAUAUGGAUAAUUCUAAUUAGCAUAAAUUUUUUUAACAAACUUCUAUGCAGUUCAAGAACUAUGAUUAGAAAUGCAUCCUUUCUUAUUUAUUUUGGUUUUUUCUGAAAGCCACUGUCAUCAUGUCCUGGCCUAUGUCCCCUUUAGUUUUAGACCAAAUUUUAGAAACAACUUUUAUUGCUAAUCAAGUACCUUAACUACCCGUUUGCCUCAAGAUUCUACUUCCCUUAUGUUUUUUUUAAAAUCUUUACAUGCAUUGGAAUUGUCUCCCUUGCCCAUUGCCACUACCAUCAUCUCAUGCAUUAGAAUUAGGCAUUAAUGCCAGGUUAGCAAUAAUGAUUGUUACAGAGUCUUUUGCUAGUUGGUGGUUGACAGGGAGCUUUCUGUGGACAUGCUGGCAUGGAAAGCAUGAAAAUUAGAGAGGGGAUGCGGGGGGAGCAGUUAUUGGGUUGGGAGGUAAUAGGCAGUCUUGGCACAUUAGAUGAAAUUGAUUUAAUUUUGGAGGCCUUAGUAGGUUUCAGUGAAAAAAUGUGGCUGUUUGUUUCAAUUAUUUAAAAGGAAAAUUGUGGACACAUUUGCCAUGAUAAAGGCUCAUGUAGCUUUUUAAUAAUAACUAAUAGCUUAAAAACAAAAAGAUCAUAAGAUGUUUUUUUUCUUACUUAAGAGUUAAGAAUGUUUUAGAAGUCCUUGGUAUGUGGAGCCUAUGGCUUAUAACCUCAUGCUCCACUUCCAACCAGACAAAAUUAAAUCACCUCUUCCAACCAGACACCAUCAGAAAUUAGUGUAUUUCUUUUAUUUUAUUGUUGUCUGAUUUUGUCUCUCCUUCCUUUCAAAGUUUGUUCUUCUUCACAUUGGUAUAA
rnacentral:lncRNA from 1 species